rnacentral:rRNA from 1 species
AGUGAACGCUGGCGGUAGGCCUAACACAUGCAAGUCGAACGGCAGCACAGUAAGAGCUUGCUCUUACGGGUGGCGAGUGGCGGACGGGAGAGGAAUACAUCGGAAUCUACUUUUUCGUGGGGGAUAACGUAGGGAAACUUACGAUAAUACAGCAUACGCCCUACGGGUGAAAGCAGUGGAUAUUCGCGCCUGGCGCGGUUGAACGAGCGGCUGAUGUGUUAGCUGGUUGGGGGGGGAAAGGCCAACCACGGCGAGGAUCCGUGGCUGGUCUGGGAGGCUGGUCACCCACAUUGGAACUGGGACGCGCUCCAGGGUCCUACGGGAGGCACCAGUGUGGAAUAUUGGGCAGUGGGCGCAAGUCUGGUCCAGCCAUACCGCGUGUGUUGAGAAGGCCCUCCGGUUGUAAAGCCCUUUUGUUGGUAAAGAACAGCAGCAGGUUAAUACCCCGCUGUUCUGACGGUACCCAAAGAAUAAGCACCGGCUAACUUCGUG